rnacentral:rRNA from 1 species
GAUGAACGCUGGCGGCGUGCUUAACACAUGCAAGUCGAACGAUGAAGCCCAGCUUGCUGGGUGGAUUAGUGGCGAACGGGUGAGUAACACGUGAGUAACCUGCCCUUAACUCUGGGAUAAGCCUGGGAAACUGGGUCUAAUACCGGAUAGGAGCGCCUACCGCAUGGUGGGUGUUGGAAAGAUUUAUCGGUUUUGGAUGGACUCGCGGCCUAUCAGCUUGUUGGUGAGGUAAUGGCUCACCAAGGCGACGACGGGUAGCCGGCCUGAGAGGGUGACCGGCCACACUGGGACUGAGACACGGCCCAGACUCCUACGGGAGGCAGCAGUGGGGAAUAGUGCACAAUGGGCGAAAGCCUGAUGCAGCGACGCCGCGUGAGGGAUGACGGCCUUCGGGUUGUAAACCUCUUUCAGUAGGGAAGAAGCGAAAGUGACGGUACCUGCAGAAGAAGCACCGGCUAACUACGUG